GAGUUUGAUCAUGGUUCAGGAUGAACGCUGGCGGUAUGCUUUAUACAUGCAAGUCGUACGAGAGUUUUUAACUCAAGUGGCGGACGGGUGAGUAACACGUAAGAAUUUGCCUUUAGGAGGGGGAUAACAACUGGAAACGGUUGCUAAUACCCCAUAUGCUUUUGAGUGAAAUGGAUUUUUCCGCCUAAAGAGAAGCUUGCGGCUGAUUAGCUUGUUGGUAAGGUAAUGGCUUACCAAGGCGACGAUCAGUAUCUGGUUUGAGAGGACGAUCAGACACACUGGAACUGAGACACGGUCCAGACUCCUACGGGAGGCAGCAGUAGGGAAUUUUCCGCAAUGGGCGAAAGCCUGACGGAGCAAUACCGCGUGAGGGAUGACGGCCUAUGGGUUGUAAACCUCUUUUUUCAGGGAGGAACAAAAUGACGUGUACCUGAAGAAUGAGCAUCGGCUAACUCCGUGCCAGCAGCCGCGGUAAGACGGAGGAUGCAAGUGUUAUCCGGAAUCACUGGGCGUAAAGCGUCUGUAGGUGGUCAAAUAAGU
rnacentral:rRNA from 1 species